rnacentral:rRNA from 1 species
GACGAACGCUGACGGCGUGCUUAACACAUGCAAGUCGAAGGGAGUGGCGAACGGGUGAGUAACACGUGAGUAACCUGCCCUUUUCUUUGGGAUAAGCCUGGGAAACUGGGUCUAAUACUGGAUGGAUUGGGAUGGGCUCGCGGCUUAUCAGCUUGUUGGUGGGGGGAUGGCUUACCAAGGCUUUGACGGGUAGCCGGCCUGAGAGGGUGGUCGGUCACACUGGGACUUAGAUACGGCCCAGACUCCUACGGGAGGCAGCAGUGGGGGAUAUUGCACAAUGGACGAAAGUCUGAUGCAGCGACGGCGCGUGAGUGAUGAGGGUCUUCGGAUCGUAAAACUCUGUUAUUAGGGAAGCGGUACCUAAUCAGAAAGCCACGGCUAACUACGUGCCAGCAGCCGCGGUAAUUC